AUUCCAAUUGAGGAGAGCAAGGAGGAAAUGCUAUCUCUGCAUCGGUUCGAUCGAAGGAACAAUCAGGAUAUAUCGGAUUGGGCAAACAAACACCGUGCAUGGAUAGAAAUUUGGAAUCAAAGAGACAUGUUAGUGCAAUCAGAGAAUAGACCUCACAAUCAGUCAUCAUAUCAGAAGUAUCAAGUGUGGUAUGCGGAUCGUUACCGGUUAAAGCUGAAGCCUGGUUGGACUCAUGAGGAGUGGUCGGAGUUGGUGUCUGAAGACCCGGAGACUGCACAAGGUUAUCAAACCUUCAACACGGCUGUGAGAGACACCAGAGGGGCUCACGUUGACUAUGCACCGAUGCAUGAUGAAAUGGUAGUCUGUUUGACCUAUUCUAACAUACUUGCAUCAUGUUGUCUUCUUUCAAAUACAUAA
rnacentral:rRNA from 1 species